rnacentral:snRNA from 1 species
GGAUGUGAGGGCAAUCUGGCUGCUACAUCUGUCACCCAUUGCGCUCCAGGGUUGAUUCGGCUGAUAUGGCCGGCUAGGCAGGUGUCCCCUUCCUCCCUCAUGGCUCUGGGUGCAUACUCGUAAGAAGAGGACAACCUUCCCCGAAUAGAGGAGGACUGGUCUUCAGUCAAGGGUCUACGAGUAGCUGAGCUCCCCUGCUAGGACCCCCAGACAAGCUCUCAAGAAAGGUGGAUGGCAUCUGAAGAACGACCCCCGAAGUUGUCCUCUGGCUUCCUGUCGGGCACUGCCAGGCACA